CUCAUAUUCCAUACCACCCUAAAAAUGCCUGAUCUAGUCUAUUCUUAUAAAGUAAUUAGGGUCAGGUUGGUUAGUACUUGGAUGGGAGACCAGGACUCUUUCUGGGU
rnacentral:rRNA from 1 species